AUAUGAAGUCGGGCCUGCCCAGUGAGUUUAUUCAACGGCCGCGGUACCCUGACCGUGCAAAGGUAGCAUAAUACUUGCCUUAUAAUUGAAGGCUGGAAUGAAUGGUUUGACAAGAAUGUAGCUGUCUCAUUAUAAUUUAAUAGAAUUUUAUUUUAGGAUGAAAAAGUCCUAGUUAAAUUAAAAGACAAGAAGACCCUAUCGAGCUUGAAGUUAAUUGAUAAAGAAUUAAUACUUAUAAAAGUUGUUAUCAAAAAUUUUGGUUGGGGCAACUAAGGAGCAAAAAAAGCCUCUUUUUAAAAAUUAUACACACUAGUAAGGAUCCAAUAAUUUUGAUCAAAGAAAAUAGUUACCGUAGGGAUAACAGCAUUAUCUUUUUUGAGAGCCCUUAUCGAAAAAAAGGUUUGUGACCUC
rnacentral:rRNA from 1 species